GACGAACGCUGGCGGCGUGCCUAAUACAUGCAAGUAGAACGCUGAAGGAGGAGCUUGCUUCUCCGGAUGAGUUGCGAACGGGUGAGUAACGCGUAGGUAACCUGCCUGGUAGCGGGGGAUAACUAUUGGAAACGAUAGCUAAUACCGCAUAAGAGUAGAUGUUGCAUGACAUUUGCUUAAAAGGUGCAAUUGCAUCACUACCAGAUGGACCUGCGUUGUAUUAGCUAGUUGGUGGGGUAACGGCUCACCAAGGCGACGAUACAUAGCCGACCUGAGAGGGUGAUCGGCCACACUGGGACUGAGACACGGCCCAGACUCCUACGGGAGGCAGCAGUAGGGAAUCUUCGGCAAUGGACGGAAGUCUGACCGAGCAACGCCGCGUGAGUGAAGAAGGUUUUCGGAUCGUAAAGCUCUGUUGUAAGAGAAGAACGAGUGUGAGAGUGGAAAGUUCACACUGUGACGGUAUCUUACCAGAAAGGGACGGCUAACUACGUGCCAGCAGCCGCGGUAAUACGUAGGUCCCGAGCGUUGUCCGGAUUUAUUGGGCGUAAAGCGAGCGCAGGCGGUUAGAUAAGUCUGAAGUUAAAGGCUGUGGCUUAACCAUAGUACGCUUUGGAAACUGUUUAACUUGAGUGCAAGAUGGGAGAGUGGAAUUCCAUGUGUAGCGGUGAAAUGCGUAGAUAUAUGGGAGGGAACACCGGGUGGGGAAAGCGGGUCCCUUGGUUUGUAAUUGACGCUGAAGGCUUGAAAGCGCUG
rnacentral:rRNA from 1 species